rnacentral:tRNA from 1 species
GGGAUUGUAGCUUAGUGGUUAGAGCGUCGGAACUCCCCGACUUGAGAAGGUCGGGGUUCGAUUCCCGCAGAACCCA